rnacentral:rRNA from 1 species
UACGAGUGCUCCAAGCGUUAUCCGGAAUCAUUGGGCGUAAAGGGUGUGUAGGUGGUUGUGUUAGUCUUCUGUUAAAUUCUUCGGCUUAACCGGGGGCAUGCAGGGGAAACGGCACAACUAGAGGAUGCGAGAGGUACAUGGAACUCGUGGAGUAGGGGUGAAAUCCGUUGAUAUCAUGGGGAACACCGAAAGCGAAGGCAAUGUACUGGCGCACUCCUGACACUGAAACACGAAAGCGUAGGUAGCGAAUGGG